GAUGAACGCUGGCGGCGUGCCUAAUACAUGCAAGUCGAGCGAACAGACGAGGAGCUUGCUCCUCUGACGUUAGCGGCGGACGGGUGAGUAACACGUGGAUAACCUACCUAUAAGACUGGGAUAACUUCGGGAAACCGGAGCUAAUACCGGAUAAUAUAUUGAACCGCAUGGUUCAAUAGUGAAAGACGGUUUUGCUGUCACUUAUAGAUGGAUCCGCGCCGCAUUAGCUAGUUGGUAAGGUAACGGCUUACCAAGGUAACGAUGCGUAGCCGACCUGAGAGGGUGAUCGGCCACACUGGAACUGAGACACGGUCCAGACUCCUACGGGAGGCAGCAGUAGGGAAUCUUCCGCAAAGGGCGAAAGCCUGACGGAGCAACGCCGCGUGAGUGAUGAAGGUCUCCGGAUCGUAAAACUCUGUUAUUAGGGAAGAACAAAUGUGUAAGUAACUAUGCACGUCUUGACGGUACCUAAUCAGAAAGCCACGGCUAACUACGUG
rnacentral:rRNA from 1 species